AGCUUUGCGCAUUGGCAGUAUCAUAGCCAAUGAGGUUUAUCCGAGGAGCGAUUAUUGCUAAUUAAAGUACAGGGGGUGAGGGGAGUCCUAUAUGUCUGGAAAUAGACCUGUGAGUUAAAAAAUGAAAUCAAAAGGGAAACUGUAACAUAUUUAUAACUGAAU
ensembl:snRNA U4 U4 spliceosomal RNA